GAGCAGAACAGACUACCUCUGUUGUUUAAGGAGGAGGUCAGUCAGUCAUUGGUAAGUUCCCAGAUCCCCUAAGACUUGGGAACCUGAACUUUGUUUCACCUUACAGUUAAAAUGGAAUCUGAAGUUAAAAUGGCAGUACUUAGGACAAGGUGCUUUUGCCUGCUCCCUUCAGCCUAAGUGGAGGAAGAGAAGGAGAAGAGUAGGAGAUCUCCAGAGAAUUUAAGAGUUGACUGUGCUUCAAUUUAAGGUGAAUCCUGUCUCAGAGUCUCCCAAGGGUACAAGGGCCUAUGCAAAACUUGAUUCAGGAAACCUGGAAAACUAUGGUCCCUGAACAAUCGAGGAAUUUGCACUUGGCAUUGCAUUGUUGAAGCCCCUUUCAGGCUGUUUUGAGUACAUGGAAAUUAACUGGCUAAACUGUAAUGGAGAGAAAUAAAAUAAAAAGGAAUAGUGCUUCAGUCCCUUGAGGAUGGACCCCCCUGCAGCCAUGAAAGGCUAGAUACAUUCUUAA